rnacentral:lncRNA from 1 species
AAGGCAGUGAGCAUCAGGUUUUUCAAACCUGCAUGACAAUCGAUUGUGAACCUUAUGACAAUCGAUUGUGAUGAGGCAGUGUAUAUCAAAGUUUUUCAAAACUCAGAAUAAUCGAUUGUGAAGCAUAUGACAAUCGAUUGUGUUGAGGCAGUGUCUUCCAGACUUUUUCAAAGUUAUUAAAUAGUCGAUUGUGAGUAUAUAACAAUCGAUUUUCACGAGGCAGUGUCUAAAAUUAUUUUCAAAG